rnacentral:rRNA from 1 species
UACAGAGGGUGCUAGCGUUGUUCGGAAUCAUUGGGCGUAAAGGGCGUGUAGGCGGUUUGCUAAGUCAUGUGUGAAAUCCCUCGGCUCAACCGGGGAACGACGCAUGAAACUGGCAAGCUAGAGUACCAAAGAGGGGGGUGGAAUUCCCGGUGUAGCGGUGAAAUGCGUAGAUAUCAGGAGGAACACCGAUGGCGAAGGCAGGUCUCUGGGCCACUACUGACGCUGAGAAGCGAAAGCAUGGGGAGCGAACAGG